ACUACCGUUAAGGUUUUCUCUUUAUCUUUGGUGUUUGGCAGUUUAAAUGUAAUGUACCUGCGUGUGGUGUUCUCUGUAGCUCUUUGGCUUAGUGUUAAUUGAAGUUCUUGGUCAAUGGAGUAGUGUCUGUCAUCAGGUCUUCUAAUUCCUGGCAAUUAUCCUUGAAGUUCAAGUUAGCCAGCAAUUACUGAGUUUGGGAAACAUGGAGAAGAAUGAUACCGAUUUUUAACUUACUAGCAACUGUCUCUUUCAGUUGGGUUAACCCUUAAAUAACAUGAAACAAGAGUUAAAGAGACAGACCCUUCCUCAAGGAGACGUACAUUAAAUCAACAAGUGGUAUGU